rnacentral:rRNA from 1 species
CCUACGGGUGGCAGCAGUGAGGAAUAUUGGUCAAUGGCCGCAAGCCUGAACCAGCCAAGCUGCGUGAAGGAUGACGGUGCCAAGCAUUGUAAACUUCUUUUGUCAAGGGACAAAAUCAGGCUCGAGAGCCUGACCGAGGGUACUUUAAGAAAAAGCAUCGGCUAACUCCGUGCCAGCAGCCGCGGUAAUACGGAGGAUGCGAGCGUUAUCCGGAUUUAUUGGGUUUAAAGGGUGCGUAGGGGGACUGUUAAGUCAGCGGGAAAAGCGCGGGGCUCAACCCAGGAGAGCAGUUGAAACUGGCUGUCUUGAGUCGACGAGAGGUAUGCGGAAUGCGCGGUGUAGCGGUGAAAUGCUUAGAUAUUGCGAAGAACUCCGAUUGCGAAGGCAGCAUACCGGCGGGGCACUGACGCUGAGGCACGAAAGCGUGGGUAUCGAACAGGAUUAGAUACCCGGGUAGUC